UCCCACUACAUCGAGCCCCGCGCCCAUGUCCCAUCUCCUCUUCCUAGCAAAGCAAGUCUACUCCGCGUCUCUUCCAAUCUAGUCUCAUAUUUUCUUCUUCUCGUUCAAUGAACAGGCAAGCUUGCUCGGCGGUGAAGCCUCGCCAGAGAUGGGAUGCGAUUCUCAUUGAGCCUCAAUCGGCAGCGGGAGCAGGGGCUCUCGCUCUUGUUUCUCCCUUUCGCGUCUCGCGGAUGAGGGCGUGCCUACACGGAAUCGAGGAGGGGAGCUUAUGAGCCCAGGAGAAGGACUACUGCCGCCGUCGCAGUCCUGAGGUCGACAUAUCUCGCCUCUACGCAGCCCCGAUGCGCCUUCCUCUGGCGGCCAGCUUAUCCCCGCAUUAGCUCGUUGCAGCCCCGACACCGGUGUACUCCCGCCUAGGUUUGUCGUCUUUCACCUGGGCGACGCGAUCUGGAGGAGUAGAACGUGUGGUGGAGGCAGCAUCAGCCACUUGCAGGGAGGGAGAGGACCCCCCAGCCGUGAGGAGAGGAAGGUAUCCACAGAAGACGUCAAGGAGAAAGGUGGAGCUCUCACCGUCCAUGGCCACUAGAGAGUGGGAUAAUCAAUGUGCCAUUGACUCGAUGCUGGGACUAAAACGGAAGAAGGAUGAGGACCAACUGAAAAGGAUUGAUACAAAGCCGCCCCCACUUCAAGUAGAUGUGUACCACGUGCACCUGCACAUCCAAGGUGGCCUGGCCGCGGCGAGCUCGCCGGAUGCCUUGGCCGCCAAAGUAAUCAGUUAGAGUGGCCGGAUGAGCCCCCUUCCCAACCUAACCGGUGACCUGGGAAUCUUGGUGCACUCAUCGAUCAUUGGGGUGUCCUUGCGCGCAUUGUUGAGGCAAACGACCAUCUUGUCGACGCCCUCAGAUUCCAUCACUUAUUCGAGGGCAUUGGCCUCGAAGGUUGUAUUUUUCAGGUGGAAAGUUUGUCUAUGAACUCUGCCUCCACAGCCUGAUACUAGAGACCUGCUUUGCACCUUGAGUUUGUACCUACUACCUAGGUACAUUGGAGUUAUAAUUUUUGGAAAGCCAAGUAAAUAAAUCUGUAGGUAUACAUUCCUGACCUUCUAGAUCUGUGUCCAGUGCAUUAACUAUUUUGUGCACUGAAUGAGCUAUCUGUGCUACUUAGUAAUUAUGCAGAAUGAGUUUAGUUUUAAGCUGUUUUUCAGUGGAUAAAAUCCUUGUUUGCGAUAGCAUAUAUAUUAUGAAAAUAUAGUAGAAUAUGUAAGCAUGUAGGAUUAACGCCCUUUCAUUUAUGCUAAAAUGAAGUACAUACAUGGCAUGUUGAAACCUCAAGUCAGUCAUGAUUUUGAAAGAUUUUUCGUGAGACUAUAUAUUUAAAAAGUGUCACUGAAUCCUUUAAUUAGUACACCAGAAAACCUUUAGUAAUCCGUAGCCUCAAACAUGAAGCUGCCAGCACACGUAUCCUGAUUUAGGUGCAGGAUGAAGAGUCCAACACCUUAUUCUUUAAUGCAGAAUCUUGUCCAUGAGAUGGCUUUACUGAGUUCAUAAUUUGACUAAUUUCCUCAUUAAGGAUCCUGUAUUAUUAAGGUCCUUGGUUGGGUAAGGGUCUGAAAAAAGGACAGGGAUCUUAGGUUGUUCACUGUCGUGUAUACCUAGAGGCUCUAAGAUUCAAAAAUAUAAAUUAUAUGAAGAAACUAGAGAACUUGGGUUAUUCUUUGUUUAUUCAGGGUGCAGUGCCGUGCUUAUAUUUCUGGCCUCCUGAAAAGAGUAUCCAGUAUAACCAAUCUACUACUGAAGAUAAGAGUGUUAUUCGAACUGUUCUAAUAUAAAUCUACACGUCUAACUAAUUAGGAUAUCUUAUGUUGAUCUUCCUAAUGUUGUUAUGUCUCGGCAAACAUUACCGCUUUGAAAAUAAUAAUGCAAAAAAACUUACUCACUGACUACUGCAUGUUGUGUGCAUGCUGUUGCACGUUAGAUAUAUAAGGAGAUGAGAGAAGAUGUCCAAAUUCAUGAUUGAUUCAACGUGUGUCUUCUAGAUCUUGUAAAAUCGUUUAAGAAUGAAAUUUCAUGCCUUUGUGCUUGUUUGAAGAAGACAACAACUUAGAGGAGGUAUUAUGAGUUACUUAGUAUUUAAACUCUUAAUUUUAUAGUAGCAUGUGCCAUUUUCAUUUCGUAUUAUGUGAUCAUCUUCAUUUCUUCUGUCAAUAAUUUCAUAGGCUAAAAAGAGAAGUUCCUGCAAAUAUUUUUCUUGCAUUUCAUACAAGCAUUUAAAGGCCAGGAGCCAUACCAUGUUGAUCAAUCGGUUGAUCGGAAAUCAGCGUCGGAUGAUACAAUUCUAGGAUGUUCUGGUCUGCAGACCUUCUUGCAGAAUGUACAUGCUGAUUGGUUUAUAAACAAUUAUUAUAGAUAUUGUUUCAGAAUUUGCAUGCUAAUUAAUUUACACCCAUAUAGACUUAUAGAAUGUUGUCCAAUGAGAUAAAUUUCAAGAUUGCAAAACCAUUAUGAGACAAAUUCGAGUUUGGGUGCAAUAGACGUUCUGUUUUGUAUUUGGCAGUUAUAACAUACUCCCUCCGUCCUAGGAAACUUGUCUUCAGUUUAUCAAAAUUGUAUUUGGCAGUUAUAACAU